rnacentral:lncRNA from 1 species
GGGCUGGAGAGAUGGCUCAGCAGUUAAGAGCACCACUGCUCUUCCAGAGGUCAUGAGUUCAACUCCCAGCAACCACAUGGCGGUCUGUAAUGGGAUCGGUACCAUCUUUUUGUGUGCAGUGUGCAGAUGUUCGUGUAAACAAAACUUAUUACAUAAAAUGCAUAAGUAAAUGUUUUUCAAAACUGGUCUACGAGAAUAACGAAGCCGUGCGUGGCGGGGGGGGGGGGGAGCAGUAGGGGGAAGGGACAUUGGGGGCUUGCAGACAAGGUCUCCUGCCAGCUCCCUUCUGUUGACAGACAAUGAUUCCAACUCCUACGAGAAUGUGCUCAUCUGCAAGCCCAGCACCCCCGAGUCAGGUACUGAGGAAUCCGAGGAUUACCAGAACUCGGUAUCCAUCCUUCAGUGGCGAGAAUCCAAGAGGACUAUGGGUGCACGCACGUCCCCAUCAGGAAGCCCAGACGAGGAGCCAGAUUACGUGAAUGGGGAUGUGGCCACGACGGAGAAAAUCUAGGAGAGAAUCCAAAGGAAGGGCCUGAGGAUCAGGAGCCGACUGUUUACUGCCUGCUGUAUAAAGCCCUGACUGUGGCUGCUCCUGGGAGGGGCACCAGAACUGCCUGACACUGCCUGGGAGACAUUGGAAUCACCAGGGCUGCAAGUGAUGCUCCGGACUUCUCAGGGACAAAGCAAGUGUCCAGGGGAUAUUGACUGUGCUGACUGGAAGCCCAGGACCUGAGGCAGGAUGCAUCCCCAGUCCCACAUCUAAAAUGCAGCACAACAUUGGCACUUGUGGGUUUUGUUUUGGCUGUAGGUCUAAAUUGUUCAGGCUGAUGUCAAACUUGCAAUCCUCCAGCCUCAGCCCUUGUGCUGGGAUCACGUUAUACCACCACACCUGACUUCGUAGGGUGGUUUUGUUUUUUUUUUUGUUUUUUUUUCCUUUCCUUGUUUGAACCUCAAACUACUUAUGAAUGUUGAUUUCUGGAACUGUUACCAUGACUUUUCCGGUAGUUAACUUAAGUUGCUGGAGCCGUAUUUAAUGUUGUUAAUGUCAGGGGACUCCCCGUUUCAGAGCAUUAAAUGUAGUAGCCUUAGCAGAAGAAUGGGGUGUGGGGUAACCUGAGAUUGCCUUGGUUUCUUACGAGGCUCCAGUUUGUUCUGAUUUUCCAUUCCUGCGGGGGGGAACCUUGUGGGCCAGUGAUAAAGAAAUAAAACCACCCCCUCAUCAAACCUCAGGAAACCCUGUGUGUAAGAGCAGGCACAGCGCACAUGCCUUUUAGACACCUUUUCCUGUGUGUUCCUAGGGUCUACCAUCUGCUGUUCCUCUCCAUUAUUUUAACAGUCACACUGUGUAGCCCCUGGCUGGCCUGGAACUUGCUGUAUAAAGCAGGCUGGCCCUAAUGAGGUGUCUGCUUCUGCUUCCUGGACACAGGGAUGGAAGGUGGCACCGCAGCUGGCCUUCAGUUUAAAAACUCUGACACAUUCCGUGUGGGUGCCUGCAGGCACUGUUGUUAGCUGCCCCACGGGAGUGCUAGGGACCCACAUAGGCUCCUCUGUAUGAGCAGUUCGACUGCCGAGCCAUCUCAUCUCCCCUGCUUUCUGAACAAGUGUCUGGCGUUGAGCUUGUGAGCCUGCCGAUUGGAUAGAUGUGCUGGCCUAGCGAGCCCUGGGGAUGCUUGUCUAACUUGCCAGCGCUAAGAUCACAGGCAUCUGGCCCCGUGCCUGGCUUGAUACUUGGAUUCUGGGGACUCUAAAAAUCAGGUGGAGGUUUGCACAGCACUUUACCAGCCAAGCCACCUCCCCGCUUUAUUAGUGCGCGCACGCGCAUGUAUGUGUGUGUGUGUUUGUGUGAGAGCAUGCACGGUCAGAGGUCAGUUCUAUGGAGCUGGCUCCCCUUCUGCCCUUAAAAGAGCUCCAGGGAUGAAUCUCAGGCUACCAGGCAGUGCCUUUACCACUGAGCCGCCAUCUUGCCAGGACCCUUCUGUUACUCAGUCUCACUGUAACCCAGGCGGCUGGCACUGAACUCCCGGUACCCCUUUGCCUCAGCACCCCAGGUGUUGGGGUUACAGGCCUGUGCCACCACACCUGGCUCUGGUAAAGACCCUUCCUGGAAAUGAAGAGCAAUGUGGGUUUUGUUUUUUAAGACAAGGUUUCGGGGGCUGGAGAGAUGGCUCAGUGGUUAAGAGCGCUGGCUGCUGCUUCCAGAGGUUCUGAGUUCAAUUCCCAGCAAUUCAUAGUCAUCUGUAAUGAGAUCUGAUGCCCUCUUCUGGUGUAUCCGAAGACAGUGACAGUGUCAUAUACAUUAAAUAAAUAAAUCUUAAAAAAAAAAAAAAAAAA